rnacentral:piRNA from 2 species
UGGCCCACCCAAUGGUUUAGUUUCUUGAC